rnacentral:rRNA from 1 species
AGAGUUUGAUCAUGGCUCAGGAUGAACGCUAGCUACAGGCUUAACACAUGCAAGUCGAGGGGAAACGAUAUUGGAAGCUUGCUUCCGAUAGGCGUCGACCGGCGCACGGGUGAGUAACGCGUAUCCAACCUGCCCACCACUUGGGGAUAACCUUGCGAAAGUAAGACUAAUACCCAAUGAUAUCUCUAGAAGACAUCUGAAAGAGAUUAAAGAUUUAUCGGUGAUGGAUGGGGAUGCGUCUGAUUAGCUUGUUGGCGGGGUAACGGCCCACCAAGGCAACGAUCAGUAGGGGUUCUGAGAGGAAGGUCCCCCACAUUGGAACUGAGACACGGUCCAAACUCCUACGGGAGGCAGCAGUGAGGAAUAUUGGUCAAUGGACGAGAGUCUGAACCAGCCAAGUAGCGUGCAGGAAGACGGCCCUAUGGGUUGUAAACUGCUUUUAUAAGGGAAUAAAGUGAGAGUCGUGACUCUUUUUGCAUGUACCUUAUGAAUAAGGACCGGCUAAUUCCGUGCCAGCAGCCGCGGUAAUACGGAAGGUCCGGGCGUUAUCCGGAUUUAUUGGGUUUAAAGGGAGCGUAGGCCGGAGAUUAAGCGUGUUGUGAAAUGUAGACGCUCAACGUCUGCACUGCAGCGCGAACUGGUUUCCUUGAGUACGCACAAAGUGGGCGGAAUUCGUGGUGUAGCGGUGAAAUGCUUAGAUAUCACGAAGAACUCCGAUUGCGAAGGCAGCUCACUGGAGCGCAACUGACGCUGAAGCUCGAAAGUGCGGGUAUCGAACAGGAUUAGAUACCCUGGUAGUCCGCACGGUAAACGAUGGAUGCCCGCUGUUGGUCUGAAUAGGUCAGCGGCCAAGCGAAAGCAUUAAGCAUCCCACCUGGGGAGUACGCCGGCAACGGUGAAACUCAAAGGAAUUGACGGGGGCCCGCACAAGCGGAGGAACAUGUGGUUUAAUUCGAUGAUACGCGAGGAACCUUACCCGGGCUUGAAUUGCAGAGGAAGGAUUUGGAGACAAUGACGCCCUUCGGGGCCUCUGUGAAGGUGCCGCAUGGUUGUCGUCAGCUCGUGCCGUGAGGUGUCGGCUUAAGUGCCAUAACGAGCGCAACCCCUCUCCUUAGUUGCCAUCAGGUUAAGCUGGGCACUCUGGGGACACUGCCACCGUAAGGUGUGAGGAAGGUGGGGAUGACGUCAAAUCAGCACGGCCCU